GAGUGCAUAAAGUGGCGCACGGGUGAGUAACACGUAGGUAAUCUACCCUCGGGUGGGGAAUAACAUCGGGAAACCGAUGCUAAUACCGCAUAAUGCAGCGGCACCGCAAGGUGACAGUUGUUAAAGAUUUAUUGCCUGGGGAGGAGCUUGCGGCAGAUUAGCUAGUUGGUAAGGUAACGGCUUACCAAGGCUACGAUCUGUAUCCGGUCUAAGAGGACGGUCGGACACACUGACACUGAAUAACGGGUCAGACUCCUACGGGAGGCAGCAGUCGGGAAUUUUGGGCAAUGGGGGAAACCCUGACCCAGCAACGCCGCGUGAAGGAUGAAGUAUUUCGGUAUGUAAACUUCGAAAGAAUGGGAAGAAUUAAUGACGGUACCAUUUAUAAGGUCCGGCUAACUACGUGCCAGCAGCCGCGGUAAUACGUAGGGACCAAGCGUUG
rnacentral:rRNA from 1 species